rnacentral:snRNA from 1 species
AUCACUUCUCGGCCUUUUGGCUAAGAUCAUGUGUAGUAUUUGUUCUUAUCAGAAUAUUAUUGGCCCAUUCAUUCAUUGCACAUAUGGACACUGACUGGGAUUGUUGCUAUGUGGUUUGGGAUAGCUACCUGACUUUUGGUCUGGACCCUCC